CUGGAGGUAUCAGAAGUGCGAAUGCUGACAUAAGUAACGAUAAAGCGGGUGAAAAGCCCGCUCGCCGGAAGACCAAGGGUUCCUGUCCAACGUUAAUCGGGGCAGGGUGAGUCGACCCCUAAGGCGAGGCCGAAAGGCGUAGUCGAUGGGAAACGGGUUAAUAUUCCCGUACUUGGUGUUACUGCGAAGGGGGGACGGAGAAGGCUAUGUUGGCCGGGCGACGGUUGUCCCGGUUUAAGCGUGUAGGUGUGUGUUCCAGGUAAAUCCGGUUCACUUUAACACUGAGGCGUGACGACGAGGCACUACGGUGCUGAAGCAACAAAUGCCCUGCUUCCAGGAAAAGCCUCUAAGCAUCAGGUAACAUCAAAUCGUACCCCAAACCGACACAGGUGGUCAGGUAGAGAAUACCAAGGCGCUUGAGAGAACUCGGGUGAAGGAACUAGGCAAAAUGGUGCCGUAACUUCGGGAGAAGGCACGCUGACACGUAGGUGAAGUGAUUUACUCAUGGAGCUGAAGUCAGUCGAAGAUACCAGCUGGCUGCAACUGUUUAUUAAAAACACAGCACUGUGCAAACACGAAAGUGGACGUAUACGGUGUGACGCCUGCCCGGUGCCGGAAGGUUAAUUGAUGGGGUCAGCGCAAGCGAAGCUCCUGAUCGAAGCCCCGGUAAACGGCGGCCGUAACUAUAACGGUCCUAAGGUAGCGAAAUUCCUUGUCGGGUAAGUUCCGACCUGCACGAAUGGCGUAAUGAUGGCCAGGCUGUCUCCACCCGAGACUCAGUGAAAUUGAACUCGCUGUGAAGAUGCAGUGUACCCGCGGCAAGACGGAAAGACCCCGUGAACCUUUACUAUAGCUUGACACUGAACAUUGAGCCUUGAUGUGUAGGAUAGGUGGGAGGCUUUGAAGCGUGGACGCCAGUCUGCGUGGAGCCGACCUUGAAAUACCACCCUUUAAUGUUUGAUGUUCUAACGUGGACCCGUGAUCCGGGUUGCGGACAGUGUCUGGUGGGUAGUUUGACUGGGGCGGUCUCCUCCUAAAGAGUAACGGAGGAGCACGAAGGUUGGCUAAUCCUGGUCGGACAUCAGGAGGUUAGUGCAAUGGCAUAAGCCAGCUUGACUGCGAGCGUGACGGCGCGAGCAGGUGCGAAAGCAGGUCAUAGUGAUCCGGUGGUUCUGAAUGGAAGGGCCAUCGCUCAACGGAUAAAAGGUACUCCGGGGAUAACAGGCUGAUACCGCCCAAGAGUUCAUAUCGACGGCGGUGUUUGGCACCUCGAUGUCGGCUCAUCACAUCCUGGGGCUGAAGUAGGUCCCAAGGGUAUGGCUGUUCGCCAUUUAAAGUGGUACGCGAGCUGGGUUUAGAACGUCGUGAGACAGUUCGGUCCCUAUCUGCCGUGGGCGCUGGAGAACUGAGGGGGGCUGCUCCUAGUACGAGAGGACCGGAGUGGACGCAUCACUGGUGUUCGGGUUGUCAUGCCAAUGGCACUGCCCGGUAGCUAAAUGCGGAAGAGAUAAGUGCUGAAAGCAUCUAAGCACGAA
rnacentral:rRNA from 1 species